rnacentral:rRNA from 1 species
CCUACGGGUGGCAGCAGUCGAGAAUCAUUCACAAUGGGGGAAACCCUGAUGGUGCGACGCCGCGUGGGGGAAUGAAGGUCUUCGGAUUGUAAACCCCUGUCAUGUGGGAGCAAAUUAAAAAGAUAGUACCACAAGAGGAAGAGCCGGCUAACUCUGUGCCAGCAGCCGCGGUACUACAGAGGUCUCAAGCGUUGUUCGGAAUCACUGGGCGUAAAGCGUGCGUAGGCGGUUUCGUAAGUCGUGUGUGAAAGGCGCGGGCUCAACCCGCGGACGGCACAUGAUACUGCGAGACUAGAGUAAUGGAGGGGGAACCGGAAUGCUCGGUGUAGCAGUGAAAUGCGUAGAUAUCGAGAGGAACACUCGUGGCGAAGGCGGGUUCCUGGACAUUAACUGACGCUGAGGCACGAAGGCCAGGGGAGCGAAAGGGAUUAGAUACCCCAGUAGUC